rnacentral:rRNA from 1 species
GAUGAACGCUAGCGACAGGCUUAACACAUGCAAGUCGAGGGACCGGCGCACGGGUGAGUAACACGUAUCCACCCGGCGCUUUACGCGGGGAUAGCCUUUCGAAAGCAAGAUUAAUACCCGAUAUAAUGGAUGGGGGUGCGUUGCAUUAGGGUGUGGGUGCGGUAACGGCCCACCAAGCCUUCGAUGGAGAGGGGUUCGGAGAGGAAGGUACCCCAGAAUGGAACUGCGACCCGGACCCAAAUGGGACGGGAGGCAGCAGUAAAGAAUACUGGGCAAUGGGCGCUAGCCUGACCCAGCCAAGUAGCGUGAAGGAUGCAGGCUUUUGGGUCGUAAAUUUCUGUUAUAUAAGAAGCUGUAUUAUAUGAAGAAGGAUCGGCUAACUCCGUGCCAGCCGCCGCGGUAAUAC